rnacentral:tRNA from 1 species
GAAGAAGUGGCUGAGUGGUUAAAAGCGACAGACUGUAAAUCUGUUGACGCAAGUCUACGUAGGUUCGAAUCCUACCUUCUUCA